AAGGUGAAUACCUUGGCAUUCAGAAGCGAAGAAGGACGUGGUUACCGGCGAAACGCCUCGGGGAGUUGGAAACAAGCUUUGAUCCGGGGGUAUCCGAAUGAGGCAACUCUUUAAAACUUCUUGUUGAAUCUAUAGGCAAGAAAGAGCGAACCUGGAGAAUUGAAACAUCUUAGUAACCAGAGGAAUAGAAAGUAAAAACGAUUCUCUUAGUAGCGGCGAGCGAAAUGGGAA
rnacentral:rRNA from 13 species